rnacentral:rRNA from 1 species
AUUUACGGGAGGCAGCAGUGGGGAAUCUUGCACAAUGGGGGAAACCCUGAUGCAGCGAUGUCGCGUGAGUGAAGAAGGCCCUUGGGUUGUAAAGCUCUUUCGUCGGGGAAGAAAAUGACUGUACCCGAAUAAGAAGGUCCGGCUAACUUCGUGCCAGCAGCCGCGGUAAU